rnacentral:rRNA from 1 species
GACGAACGCUGGCGGCGUGCUUAACACAUGCAAGUCGAACGGAAAGGCCCCUUUGGGGGUACUCGAGUGGCGGACGGGUGAGUAACACGGGAGUAACCUGCCCUUGACUUCUUGAUGACUUCAGUAAACUGGGGCUAAUACCGGAUAGGAAUCCUUGCUGCAUGGGGGGGGUUGGAAAGCUUCGGCGGUUUUGGAUGGACUCGCGGCUUAUCAGCUUGUUGGUGGGGUAGUGGCUUACCAAGGCUUUGACGGGUAGCCGGACUGAGAGGGCGACCGGCCACAUUGGGACUGAGAUACGGCCCAGACUCCUACGGGAGGAAGCAGUGGGGAAUAUUGAACAAUGGGCGGAAGCCUGAUGCAGCAACGCCGCGUGCGGGAUGACGGCCUUCGGGUUGUAAACCGCUUUCAGCAGGGGAGAAGCUUGUGGUGACGGUACCUGAAGAAGAAGCACCGGCUAACUACGUG